rnacentral:rRNA from 1 species
CGCGGUAAUUUGACCGUGCUAAGGUAGCAUAAUCAUUUGUCUUUUAAUUGAAGACUGGAAUGAAAGGCAAAACGUGAAUCUAUCUGUCUUUUUAAUAAAGUUUGAAUUUUAUUUUUUAGUGAAAAAGCUAAAAUGAAUUUGUGGGACGAUAAGACCCCGUAGAUCUUUAUUGUAUAUUUAUUUUAUAUUAAAAAAUAACAAUUUUAUUGGGGCGAUAAGAAGAAAAAAUAAUCUCUUCUAAAAUUAAAUAUUUAUAAAUAAAUAAAAUUAUUGAUCCUAGAUGAUGGAUUUAAAGAAAAAGUUACCUUGGGGAUAACAGCGUUAUAUUUUUAAAGAGUUCUUAUCGAAAAAAAUGUUUGCGACCUCGAUGUU